rnacentral:rRNA from 1 species
GAACCGUACAAACGUUAUUCGGAAUCACUGGGCUUAAAGGGUGCGUAGGCGGGCUUGGCAAGUUGGGGUGUGAAAUCCCUCGGGCUCAACCGAGGAACUGCGCCCAAAACUGCCAGGCUUGAGGGAGAUAGAGGUGAGCGGAACUUAGGGUGGAGCGGUGAAAUGCGUUGAUAUCCUAAGGAACACCGGUGGCGAAGGCGGCUCACUGGAUCUCUUCUGACGCUGAGGCACGAAAGCUAGGGUAGCGAACGGGAUUAGAUACCCCGGUAGUCCUAGCUGUAAACGAUGAGCACUGGGUUGGAGGCACCCCCAUAGGCUUCCGGCCGAAGCGAAAGUGUUAAGUGCUCCGCCUGGGGAGUAUGGUCGCAAGGCCG